AAUACCGGAGUGGGGAUGGUGCUACGUGCGCGUGAGAAGAUACAAAGUUUUAUUUAGUUAAUCAUCGACCUUUAGCCGAGAAGGAUUUGAGAGAAGAUUAAAGCUAGUACUAUUACGGAGAUUAAUUCAUUACGAGGAGCAACAUAUAAAAGUUUUGCAUGCGCCCGAAUUUCGGAACGUUACGUAAUCGCCUUCGUAAGCUGAGCAUACACGCACGCACAUACACAAGCCUAAGCUUUCAUCCUCAAAGCCCCUACGUGCUUCAGUGACGGCGCGUGACCUUCGAUCGGCGCGUAUAUACGACGGGGAACGAUGUCGAGGGUAGAUUCAUGACCGCCAUCAGAGCGCCAAGUCUGCCAUCGUGUAACCGUGUAUAGUUAGUACGUGAAACCGGCGAACCAUCAGCUUGGAAGGGGAUCGUUUGAGCUGUUCCUAAGAAAAACCGUGAUGGUGAAUCGGCCCGUAGGCGUAACUGGAAAACUUUUAAGUUGAGCACUUUAAAACUAUCCUAACACAAUGCGAGAUCAAAGGCGGCAAAAAUAUCGAGCACACAAAUAGCUCGACCGAGGACUACUAUACUCGAGUGAACUUAUAUUUUCAUUCUCUCUCUUCUCUGUUAUACUUUUUACAUCUUUAUUAAAAUCACUUUCAGAACGUAAUUAAGCGUAUACUUUUAUCGUACUAUUUCAGCAAACCUUGCGGCAUAGGUAAUUACGUACUCUUUCCGCUUUACAUCUCUUUACACACUUAGCAGUGCCCGGAAAAGAAUACAGAAGAUAAAUAUCUUUCUCUUUUUUUUAUACCCUUUAUUUCUUUGUCGAACGCCGCAAUGCGGUUCUUCGUGCGGUUUCCCGGCCACGACACGUCCAUGUUUGGAGCACAUAUAGAGUCGUAAAGAAAUAGAAAUUUACGGACCACUCACUCCCCGUGUGUGCAACGUGAGAGGCACGCGUGUCGCGGCGCAUGUACACUUUCAGCGACGACGAAGCGAAAUAAAAAGGACGGAGGCGAGAUAUAAAGUUUUUCGUAUUCGCAGCUUUCAUGAUAUUCCAUUUGCUGUUUAUGCUAUAUGGCCGCUAUAUAGUCACAAUGCGAUGUCAAAAGAACGACGACACUUUUUUAGUCCGACAAGAUUUUUCUUAAAACAAGAAAAUUACAUCGGUCAUUCAAGAUUGUCCAUUAUAAAUACAAGAUUUAUUCAAAAAACAAUUAUUUUACAAUUACUUGACAAAAUAAAUCAACAAUCGGUCGAAUCGAUAAAUUCUCUCAAUGUUUCUGUCAUGUAAAAAUCCAUCUUGAAUCUGUUAAGAUCAUUUAUUCAUUUUUUUUUUUUUGAAUUGGAAUAUUAUAUGCGUUUUAUCUACGUAUAUCCGAUCUUUAAAGACCUAUGGUUUUCGGCCGACAUUUGCCAGCAACGCUAAAACGGCCACGCCCGAGUUCCCUCUAUUUACCCCAUAGACCACAGAUUCAUGCGACCGUCAGGACAUCCAAUCAGAAAAGACCGGACCGCGGUCAUAGAGAUGCUCGUAAUUAAAUCCAAUCUGAAUGCGAACUCGUGAAACGUUUUGGCCACCUUGGGGCGCUCUCGAGAGCGCAUCUUUCUCUCGAUCGCUUUCUAAUUUACUACAUCUUGAAUUGCAAAUCGAGCGGCGCGCAUGUCCAGCAACAUCGGCAAUUGGUCCUUUCUCGGUGAAUUACGUUCUGUCGCGAAAGUUCUAAGCUGUUGCUCGCAUUUAAAGACAACUCAGUUGUGCCAAUAUUUCACCCGCUGACUUGUCGAAUUUGUUAGCUAAAGAAAAAGACGGAGAAAUUCACCGUGAAUAAAACUAUUCCUGGAUUUUCCCAGAAAAUAUAUGAGUCUAUGUGUCUUAAGAGAUUUCGAGUUCGUUAAUCCGUGUCUCCUCAACGACGCGUUGUUUAAACAAACACACCGCAAUCGAAAGCAAUUUCAGUCGCGCGCAAAUCUCGACAUAUUCAACAAUGAAAACCGGAAUUUCGAUAAAGAUGCCGUGACACCCGGCAAUAUUGUGGUUCGAAUUCAAACGAGGGAGCGAUAUUAGCCAACUGUUCUACCGUGUCGGUCGCUAGCCAAUCAUCUUGCUAAACAGGAAACUAACUUCUACAGUUCACAUUAUGCAGAGUUUUUCCUAACUCUAUCCUAACUUUUUUACCGUCAGUCCUGAAUUUGGAGAGAAAUGCUGGUCUAUUGUUAGGUAGCGGAAGUUAAUAUCUUUUUAUUAGUUAAAAAAUUAUGACGCCAUUUACAGAAGAAAAAUAAGGCUACAGGCCUUUCGCAUUUCUCGAAUUUUCUUAUCAAUAGAAUUUGAAAUCUUUAACAUAUUAGAUAUAUCUUUCUUUAUUUUAAUGUUUUACAGUUAUAUGUUUUUAAAGUAUUAUUUUGAAAAAUUAUUCCAUUUGAAUAUUUAAAAAUUAACGUUCAAUUUUUAUCUUUAUAACUUUCUUUCUUCGUAACUUCCUUCUACGAUAUAAUACUCUGUGAAGGAAAAAUUUAUAACUGAAUACACGAUUGAAAAAGAAUGAUGUUAUUACAAGACACGCGCGCGCGCGCGCGCGUCGAAAUUAUAAAGCCGUUUCUACUCUGACAGCGUAGAAUCGCUAUUGUGACUGCGCUGGGAAAGUUUCCUGAAAAUUGAAGGAAAUUACUUGAAAAUAUUAAGCUUGGGUGUUAUGACUUUCUCUCAUUUUGCGCUUUGCAAAAGUGCUGCGAAAUAAUCCAGAGUACGAGCGGAAUACGGAACUUGGGCGUAUGAAUCUUUCGUAACUUUUCGUAUAUGAAGAAGACUAUUACACGUAUCGUCCUUUAUCAUUUACAUAAAAUGGAUUCACAUUUCGUGAAGUAACUCGCUCUCGAGAAAUAAUGAAUUGACGAUUAGAGAAUGUACGCAUAUCGUAAAUUGUCGAAACACACGAUUCGAUCGCGACUUUAAGAUACGCUAUCAGAUACGCAUGCUCUUUCUCUCUCUGUCAAAACACAUAUAUAUAUUCGACGUUGUUUUCCAUUCAUGAGCGGAAAAUGGCCUUACGCUUAAGCUGGUAUCUGGUCGCGAGCAACCUAGCGUAGAAUCGCCAGUAACGACAUUGGUUUACAAUUAUGACGAGCAAUCCGUGAGCUUAUCGAGUUUCAAAGUGCACGAGAGCGAAUUAACCGCACGGCUUGGUCCGGCUGGCAGGAAUCCCCGAAAACUUGCGGUCUCGGAGACUCCGAUCCAAUCUCACGAUUGGAUCACCGUUGAUAAUAUACAAUUGUAUUUGCCGAUCGCCAAUGCCGGUUACAAGUAGUAAUGCACUUUAAGAAAACUUUUUUUUUUGGACAGAAGCCAUUCGCGUUUGGAUAUAAAUAUCAUUAUUUUCCACAUAUAGAGAUAUAUUUUUCCCGUCUUGAUAAUAAUAAUAUUUCCUAAAAUCGCGCCAUUAAAUGCAUAUGUUUUUAUUGCAUCGUUUAUAUAUACAUUUUCGAAGAAUUUUUCGUUUCCGCGCUCGAUCGUAUUGCGAUCAGUCAAAUACGAAUAUUCCGAUAUGCACGUAUUGAUUUGCCUAUUGCGAAUAUGGACCAAUAACCGGUUUCCCAUGUAUCCGGGUAAAUAGGAAGGUUAUAUGCAUCUAUUGGAGAAAGCCCGUGCACAUUGCAAGAUAUUGUCCGUUUGCCUGUUUAUUGGACUGACUGAUACGUCGUCUAUCAUCCCGUGUUAUGUCGUCCGUUUGAUACGUGUGUCGUAAACUGUUCAACAUUGCAUGUAAGCGUCGCUGCUAUGGCCUAUACUAUAUAGAUUUAAUCAAGUGGGUUUAGCUAACGGUCGUUUAAUUCUUUCUUAAACUGUUAUGCACUUUAAGAAUAUAAGCGCAUCUAUAUAUUUGCGCCUCUUUGUCGUAAAAUUAUUGCAAGCCAAAUCAGGAAAGACUAUCUAUAAUUUAAUAUAUGCAAUCAUUAUAUUUUUAUAAAUUGUGCAUUAUAUUCAUAUUUUUUCGGAUCUUUCUUCUUUAACAAAUUUAAAAAUCUCAGCAUUUAUUGUUAGUUGGUAUUUUCACUAGGCGGGAAUUGAAAAAAGCAAGUAGCUCUGAAUUGUAAAUUAUUUAAUUUUCGAAUCUGAAAAGUUAUAACUUUUUGUCUUAUCACAGGCAGCAAUAUAAUUUUCUUCCGUACAGGGAGAAAAUAUGUAAAUGUUUAGUACUUUUUUUAUAAUAAAGUUGUAUGCUUUGAAGUUAAAGAGCAAAGUUUAAAAGUACGAAAAAAGUAAAAAAGAUCUUAAAUAACUAAUUCUACUGCUAAAUACAUUCCAAUAUUCUUAAGCAGCA